CCCAGCUGUAGGCAGCUGCCUAGAUCGCCUUGUACCUAGGCAAGUGUUGCACUGCUGGGAGAAAAACAACCAGUAGCUGGUGGGCAUUCUGGGUCUGGAUAAUGCCAAGUGUGUUAACUACACCAGUAUGCCAACAUC
ensembl:snoRNA SNORA74 Small nucleolar RNA SNORA74